CCUACGGGUGGCAGCAGUGGGGAAUAUUGGACAAUGGGCGAAAGCCUGAUCCAGCCAUGCCGCGUGUGUGAAGAAGGCCUUCGGGUUGUAAAGCACUUUCAGUGGGGAAGAAAGCCUUGGGGCUAAUACCCUCGAGGAAGGACAUCACCCACAGAAGAAGCACCGGCUAACUCCGUGCCAGCAGCCGCGGUAAUACGGAGGGUGCGAGCGUUAAUCGGAAUUACUGGGCGUAAAGCGCGCGUAGGCGGUCUGAUAAGCCGGUUGUGAAAGCCCCGGGCUCAACCUGGGAACGGCAUCCGGAACUGUCAGGCUAGAGUGCAGGAGAGGAAGGUAGAAUUCCCGGUGUAGCGGUGAAAUGCGUAGAGAUCGGGAGGAAUACCAGUGGCGAAGGCGGCCUUCUGGUCUGACACUGACGCUGAGGUGCGAAAGCGUGGGUAGCAAACAGGAUUAGAAACCCGUGUAGUC
rnacentral:rRNA from 1 species